GGCUGAGGAGAUUUCAUCAAUGGUUUUGAUGAAAAUGAGAGAGAUUGCUGAGGCAUACCUUGGUUCAGCUGUCAAGAAUGCCGUUGUCACUGUUCCAGCCUAUUUCAACGAUUCCCAGCGCCAAGCCACCAAGGAUGCUGGAGUUAUUGCUGGCCUCAAUGUGAUGCGUAUCAUCAAUGAGCCUACAGCUGCUGCCAUUGCUUAUGGUCUUGACAAGAAGGCAACCAGUGUUGGAGAGAAGAAUGUGUUGAUUUUUGAUCUUGGAGGUGGUACUUUUGAUGUCUCUCUUCUCACAAUUGAGGAGGGUAUCUUUGAGGUGAAGGCGACAGCUGGUGACACUCACCUUGGUGGUGAGGACUUUGACAACAGAAUGGUCAACCACUUUGUUCAGGAGUUCAAGAGGAAGAACAAGAAAGACAUCAGCGGUAACCCCAGGGCUCUGAGACGGUUGAGGACAGCCUGUGAGAGGGCGAAGAGGACUCUGUCAUCAACUGCUCAAACCACCAUUGAGAUUGACUCUCU
rnacentral:lncRNA from 1 species